AGCACUGGUAAUGGUACUACUGGUGUACCAGGAUGGGGUUCAAUGCCUUGCAGUGCC
rnacentral:snRNA from 1 species